UACGGAGGAUGCGAGCGUUAUCCGGAUUUAUUGGGUUUAAAGGGUGCGCAGGCGGCACGGCAAGCCGGCGGUCAAAUCGCGGGGCUUAACCCCGCCCAGCCGUCGGAACUGCCGGGCUAGAGUGGGCGAGAAGUGCGCGGAAUGCGUGGUGUAGCGGUGAAAUGCAUAGAUAUCACGCAGAACUCCGAUUGCGAAGGCAGCGCACCGGCGCCCUACUGACGCUCAGGCACGAAAGCGUGGGUAUCGAACAGG
rnacentral:rRNA from 1 species